CAAAAUCCGGGAUUCUAAGGCCGAGAGCUGAUGACGAGUUACCCUUUGGGUGACGAAGUGGUUGAUGCCAUGCUUCCAAGAAAAGCUUCUAAGCUUCAGGUAACCAGGAACCGUACCCCAAACCGACACAGGUGGUUGGGUAGAGAAUACCAAGGCGCUUGAGAAACUCGGGUGAAGGAACUAGGCAAAAUGGCACCGUAACUUCGGGAUAAGGUGCGCCGGUGAGGGUGAAGGACUUGCUCCGUAAGCCCACGCCGGUCGAAGAUACCAGGCCGCUGCGACUGUUUAUUAAAAACACAGCACUCUGCAAACACGAAAGUGGACGUAUAGGGUGUGACGCCUGCCCGGUGCCGGAAGGUUAAUUGAUGGGGUUAGCUAACGCGAAGCUCUUGAUCGAAGCCCCGGUAAACGGCGGCCGUAACUAUAACGGUCCUAAGGUAGCGAAAUUCCUUGUCGGGUAAGUUCCGACCUGCACGAAUGGCGUAACGAUGGCGGCGCUGUCUCCACCCGAGACUCAGUGAAAUUGAAAUCGCUGUGAAGAUGCAGUGUAUCCGCGGCUAGACGGAAAGACCCCGUGAACCUUUACUAUAGCUUUGCACUGGACUUGAAUUUGCUUGUGUAGGAUAGGUGGGAGGCUUUGAAGCGUGGACGCCAGUUCGCGUGGAGCCAACCUUGAAAUACCACCCUGGCAACUUUGAGGUUCUAACUCAGGUCCGUUAUCCGGAUCGAGGACAGUGUAUGGUGGGUAGUUUGACUGGGGCGGUCUCCUCCUAAAGAGUAACGGAGGAGUACGAAGGUGCGCUCAGACCGGUCGGAAAUCGGUCGUAGAGUAUAAAGGCAAAAGCGCGCUUGACUGCGAGACAGACACGUCGAGCAGGUACGAAAGUAGGUCUUAGUGAUCCGGUGGUUCUGUAUGGAAGGGCCAUCGCUCAACGGAUAAAAGGUACUCCGGGGAUAACAGGCUGAUACCGCCCAAGAGUUCAUAUCGACGGCGGUGUUUGGCACCUCGAUGUCGGCUCAUCACAUCCUGGGGCUGAAGCCGGUCCCAAGGGUAUGGCUGUUCGCCAUUUAAAGUGGUACGCGAGCUGGGUUUAGAACGUCGUGAGACAGUUCGGUCCCUAUCUGCCGUGGACGUUUGAGAUUUGAGAGGGGCUGCUCCUAGUACGAGAGGACCGGAGUGGACGAACCUCUGGUGUUCCGGUUGUCACGCCAGUGGCAUUGCCGGGUAGCUAUGUUCGGAAUAGAUAACCGCUGAAAGCAUCUAAGCGGGAAACUAGCCUCAAGAUGAGAUCUCACUGGGACCUUGAGUCCCCUGAAGGGCCGUCGAAGACUACGACGUUGAUAGGUUGGGUGUGUAAGCGCUGUGAGGCGUUGAGCUAACCAAUACUAAUUGCCCGUGAGGCUUGAC
rnacentral:rRNA from 1 species